UACGGGGGGGGGCAAGCGUUGUUCGGAAUUACUGGGCGUAAAGGGCUCGUAGGCGGCCAACUAAGUCAGACGUGAAAUCCCUCGGCUUAACUGGGGAACUGCGUCUGAUACUGGAUGGCUUGGAUUUGGGAGAGGAAUGCGGAAUUCCAGGUGUAGCGGUGAAAUGCGUAGAUAUCUGGAGGAACACCGGUGGCGAAGGCGGCAUCCUGGACCGACACUGACGCUGAGGAGCGAAAGCCAGGGGGAGCAAACGGG
rnacentral:rRNA from 1 species